GUUCAGUGAUGAAUAUAAAACAGACAAGCAUAUGGCUGACUCUAGUGAUGCCUCCUCGAUGUCUGAGAAC
rnacentral:snoRNA from 1 species